UCUAAAGAAAGGAGAUCAAAAUGUUAAUAGUGAUGCUUUGGCAUGGCCAGGUGCUAGAAUAGUGGGUGAGUGUUAACAUCCUUUUACUUGACAUAAGUUUCAUACAGUGAACUUAUUCUCAGAUAAAAUAUAUAAACUUAAAAAUUAUUAGAAAUUCUAACUACGGUAGGCACUCAACUGUAAGAACAUGCACAUUCACCUACAUAUCUAUCCACAAAGAGAACUGUUUAAAACUCCACCUAAACUUCUGUGCGAUGGAGAGUUGAUUCCUUUUCUUAUUGCCUGUGUGCUUCUCAGCAAGUUAGUUAAUUUCAUUAUCCCAAUUUCAGUGACUGUGAACUAGGACAAUGCCACUAUGUUUCUGGCAUUUCUGGAAUUAUUCUGGAAUUUCUGAUGGUGUGUUAGGAGGUAUACUUUUAAUGUUGUUGGAAUGAAAUGGGACAUUCAUCAUCAAUUCAGAGGAAGAGCUGAAAAAUCCAACAGGGGGUGGGGUGAGGUGGGGUGAUAGCUCUUUGAAUCUCAGCAGCAAAAAGAAUGAGGGAAUUUUUUUAGGACACUCCAGGUGAAAUGAGAUUAGUAAAAUGUUAAUUCACUCUUUCUGGGAGUCAUUAUGUUCAAGAUUCAAAUUUUAGGGAAGUCAUCUCUCUGGUUGCUUAAAUUGGAAUAUGUACCCAAGCCUUUGCCAGAGAAGGAUAGUAUGCCUAGAGGAGCUAAUCUAUUGAGACUGCAGGAUCGAGGUGAAUCAGAGACAGGACAGUCGAAGAGGAUGGUGUGCACAAGACAAAACAGCUCUCAGACUCUGGCAGAGUUGUGAUAGGCAUUUGAUGAAAGAUACCAGCUUUUCACAUUUGUUCAAUCCAUUCUUGAGAUUUACCCAAGGGACAGUCUUGAAGCGAAUCCAUGUGUAUAUUAAGUGGUAACAGUCUGGAAAGACAGGGACAGACUUCCUUGCCAAGGAUGUUAUCACUCAAAGUUGAAUAUUGACUUAAUGACCAGAAAGGGGGAAUCAAGGAUGUGGUUCUUUCCUUCACUCUAAACAGGAAGGAUUAUACCCAUUUACUCACAUUGGUAGGAACUGUUGCCUGCUGUGCAAUCAAGAAAGGACAGUGGGGAUUUUGGUCUGAGACUUUUGUAGGUAAUAGUUUCAGAGAUAUAUAACCUAUUCAACUUCCUCUUAACACAUUUUAGCUCCUUGCUUGUCAUUGAUAUUGUCUCCGGUUUGUUGGAUUGCCCAAAGAGAAUUCUAAGGUUUCCAUGCAAAUUUCAAGCCAAAUAGUGCAAACUCAAAAGUACUGGUUUGCCAGAGCUCUGCCACUGGAGGAUGAACAUCUUCAGAGCAAGAAACUUAAAACUACCAUGAGUGGGAAAAGAUUAACGUCAAGGAAUUUUGUUACAGCUUUCUUUAUAAAGUGUUUUCUGGAAACGAGACGCUGAGAUUAGCCUGCAGAUCUACUGCAUGUUUUUAACCUAACAGUUCUGAGAAAUGAGAAGGGAACUAUACAGAAUUGGGCAGAAGGAGAAGAAGCGGGCUGUGUGUGGUACAGCCCCAGUGAGGUUCACAUCUGGAGGCCUCAGCUGGAAUGGCCCUUCCAAGUCUUCCUGAGGUUAAGUGAAGAUGGAUCAGUUUGGUGGGUAGGCUGUCCUGGAGAGGUAGCCUCACAGCCCAGAUGAUUUAAGAACAUGCUGCUGGUUUUGGCUGGCUCCUGGUAGCACUUCCAGGUGAGGAAAUAGCCAAGGACAUCUCAGUAGUUGAACCUCGGCAGUCAUUUUGGGUGAGAGUAGAAGUGUCCUUUGCUGAGAAUUUUAGUUAAAUGGAAAGGGAAGUGAUCAUAAGUACACCAAUAAAUUAUCCUAAAUACAAAAUUGAAAUAGUUAUAGAAGAAAAGUAUUGACAUCCCCAGUUCUUAGAUUGAUAAGAUUCCAAAGCAAGCAUGGAUUGUAGCCUGAGCUGUGGUUUCACCUAGGAGGUUAAUGUGAGAUAAGUACAUAAAUGAAUUUAUGACUGUGCUACCUAAGCAAAGGAAAUAGCAAAAAGGUAAAUUAUGAAACACUAUAAUCUUUCUAAUUCUGUUUUAAAUUUGCAGGGAAAAGUCUGAUGCUUGUUGGAUAAAAUGAAAUACAACUAUUUCAUUUACUAAAGUCCUUAAUUUUAGUGUAAGUGAAUGAAUAUUUUAUCUUCUUCCAAAUAACACGAGUGAGAAAAAAGCAGGUGUCGGUUUUUCAAAUAUUUGAAAACAACAGGUAAAUAGAGGCACAUCCCAUGUCUAUAUUCACCUAAUUGAUUCAUAAAAUAUGUCAUCAUUUUACACUCGGUUAGAAGAAAUAGUUCAUGCUUCUUACUGGUGACCUAUUUUUAUGCACAAAAUUCCUUCUAAUCCUGGUAAGCAGGUUUUCUAAACAAUGAUCAAAGAGUGGCACAUAGUGGAUAAUCAUUUAAUCCGCAGAUGCCUGUCUAUAAAAAGCAAUAAUAAUCUAGCCUUAUAUGUAGUAUCCCUAAUCAAGCUAUUGCCUAUUUCCCCAAGACUGUUAAAUUUAUCAAAGAAUAUAACUUAAAUGAAGCAAACAGUAAAGACAUAUUCACAUUCAUAUCAAGCAGGCUUAAUAAAAAAAACUACUUUUUAAAAAGUCUACCAUCACAGUGUUAGAAAUACUGUUUAUAUGUCAUUAUAUAAGAGAAAAUUAUAUUUGACAUGAUUCUGUUGCUAAAAUGUGAUAUUCUGAACUCUCUGUGUAGAAUUGAAAAUAUAUUAAAGUGAAACUUGCCUGGAGAAAGAUAUCUUGUUUGUUGUCUAUUAUAUAUAACUAAUAUAUUUAAAAAUACCAAAGUGCUAAAAAGAAGGAAUUCAGGAAAUCCUUUAAGGACACAAGAGGAAACUUAUUUUGUUGUGCACAAUAACAAGUUGGGCUUUAAGAACAAAUGGGCAGAAUUGCCUAUGAAGACAUGUAACGUGCUUAUCUGUGUAAGUUGCAGAAAAUACCCAUAAACCAGUUCUGGCUAGUGAGUGUAUGGUGCUGCUUGACUGAAUUUUCAAGUGUCUCAAUGUAGACUGAAAAUAUUUCCCAGCUCUCCUGAAAACAAGAAGAGAAAAAAGAAAAUGGAGGGAAAGCUCAACAAGGCUUAGUCCAAACUACAAUUCAUUACAUGAGGCAUACUGACAUGGUCCUGAAGCUACAUAACAAUAAUACUCAUGAAAAUGUAUGAGAAUGAGGUGUUGUACCAUACUCUAAGUGCUUCACAGAUGCCUGUUCACUUGUCCACUCUGACCAUCUGUCUCAUAGCAAUUCAGCCAUCUGAUACAGUAUUUUCCACUUUUAUUUACAAACAUGCUGGUACUUAAAAGCGGUCCCCAUGUUCAUAAGCUGUCUGUUUCUAACAAAUCUCUCUUAAAUUCUGUACAGGGAGGUGAGAGAGUAUUUUCACAGACUGUUUUGUAAAAUAAACAGCCUGUGUGAUCCUUCAUUGAGCACGUCUGUUUCUCCUGUGGUUGUGGACAUGCUUCCGCAAUUAGUCCACAUUCUUUUCCUUCAACACUGUUUUGCAAGCAAAGCCAUCUUGUCCGAAUGGAUGGAAUUGAUUGCUAUCUGUUAAAGAAUCUGCUGAGUGAAGAGGAUCAGCCUCUGCAUUUCUGGACCAGGGUACAAGGGUGCCCCAUUCGAUAUUGUUCAGCGGAUAGUCUGCAGUAUCCCCAGGCACUGCCAGAUGCUUUCUGUGUUCAAGCCAGAAAGCAAAAAGAAGUAUUAUAGUCAUUAGGGGUGUGCGUGUGUGCUG
ensembl:lncRNA